AGCAUUUUUGCACAAGCUAUUCUACGCUUAUCUUUCAGAGGCAUCUAGUGCUUCCAGAGUUCAAGCUUUUAAUGACAAAGGCAGCACUUCAUAGCAAACUGCCUUCCCCCCCCCCCACUGGAUCAUUUACAAGUAUCAAGGUCCAUGGAGGGUGUUCUGCCUCCUGUUCUUUUCCUCUUCCUUGCAUCUGUCUUCUCUUUAAAAACACAUGGUUAUCAGCAACCAAGUAUUGCCAUAAGAAGGCUAAUUUGAAAAAAAGUAACCAAUUAUUUCAUUUUUGAAAACAAAAAAGCUAAUUUUUCAGUCUGAUAUUUUCUCAUUCUCAAAAAGAGAAUGCUGUUUGUUUGGAUUUCAAAUAUUUCUCCCAGUUAAUUCCCCUCCCCCUCCAAGAGAACAGCAAUCAAAUCAUACAACUCUCUACAGUUUCUCUCACUAAAAAAAAUAACCUCUGAUGUGAAGGACAGAAAGAGCACAGAAAUCUGCCUGGGAAAUCAAAUUCAAAUCCAGGAAAGAAGCGCUACCAUGUUUGAAAAGAGGAGAUCUACAAUCCAGAAUUUGACAGAAGACAAGCUUCCUUAUUUCCACUGCUGGAAAACCUUCUAUUGUUUACUAAUAGCAACCCAGUAAUCUAUAAGCAAGUCAAUUUGUUAGAGCAUUAGCAAUCAACUGCUUACCUCACUGCACUGAAGUUCAUUUCCAGAACUAUGCACACCGAUUUAUUCAUUACUGAUUUAUCACUAUUUAAAGUAACCAAAUACUAAUAAUACCUGGAUGUUUUCAGGAAUGUCAGAUUCUUGAAGUUUUACAGUAAGGAAACCUCUUUAAUAAUUGCUUGAUUACAGAACUGUAAACAAGAAUUAAACUAAACCGAGUCAUGUAAGUGAAAAACAAAACUGCAAAUACUGACCCAUCU